AUAUUACCAAAAGCAGCUUGACCGGAACGAUGGGUACCACCACCACCAACACGAGGAAUACGAGCAAGGGCACGACCAGUACCCCAAGACUCGGCGGAAGUUUGAUGACCGGCCUUUUCAGAAACAGCGUAAGGUUGACGCUUGUUCUUGGCAACAGCGGUAUGAACGGAGCGAACCAAAUCAGGUCUGAUAGGGGCUUUGAAAACAAAAGGCAAAGCAAUAGUCUCAGAAGAGACACUGCCGUCUUUGCUGUAAAUACUAACUGUGGGACGAGCUGCUGCCAUUGAAGCUGUUAGUAUGCUUUUGUGGUUGGAAAAAAUCAGUUUAAUUCAGAAGUUUCAUCAAAAACCAGACGUGACUGCUUUUUAUGAAGAAACGAAGUAUAACAUAU